AAAUUUCCAAGUGACUCUCCACUGCACGAGAAGUGCUUGUGCCUCUGUUGAUUUCAGGAUUCUCCUAAACGUUUUUGAAAAUGCUAUAAACGUUUUUGCGUUGUCCUUAAUGAUAAAUUCUGGUGUUCCACCACGACUUGCGAAUAUUCUGAAGCAAAAUAGGAACAAUUUCAUGCUGAUAUCAGAGACUAGCUCCAGAUGCACCGCUCUGGUACUACCGCAUGUAAAGAGAGCUAAAUAUACUUUCUUAGUGAAGCCAGACGAAUUUCUCACGAAUAGAGCUCCUGCAGAGUCAAUUCCCACAGACGCAAAAGCAUACCUGCCAACCUCCCAAGCUUAAAAAUCUGGAUAUUCGAAAUUUUUCUUUAUUAAAAUCUGGAGAUUUUGCUAAAAACCUGAAGAUUUUGCGUGGCGAACUUUUUCACCAAAAAUAGCAAGAUUUACCCAUACACUCAUUGCUGUUACUGUAAAACUGUAUCCUGUAUACUAUAACUUAAACAGUUUUCACAAACAUUUUCUGUUAUAGUACAAAGUUGCUUUUUUGCAUUCUUCAAAACUUCUUCUUCUGGUUGCCAUUUAUAACAGGGAACCACUGAUUCCCCACUGAUUCUUGGAAUCAGUGGUUCUCGUUUGCAUGCAAACAUAGGAGCUAGAAGCAGGACAUGGGGCCGAGGGAGUUAUUCUAAGCCAACCAGCGAUGUCAGCAGCGCUGUGAUGUGAUUCAAGAACGAUAACACAGAAGAGGGAAAUUGUACAUAAAAUCAUGCAUAAAAUUUGCAGGGGAAAAGCUGAAUAAAAUCUAAACAUCUUGAAAAUCGCUGCAUUGGUAAAUUGAAAAUAAGUUUUUGAAAAACUGUGUGAAAUGAACAAAAAUUCGUGUGAACGUGAGAUUGAGGCCAAAACCGUGAGACACACGGCAAAACCGUGAGAGUUGGCAGGUCUGCAAUAGGAUGUGAAUCUUUAACUCUAAAUUUUGGUAGCUGGCUCUGUGCAUAGCUUUCAUAAUAGGGGGUGUGGGAAAAAGAGCAUCGUAGUAACUGUAAAUAUAGUUUGUUUUGGAGUCUUUCAGUUUUGUUCCUCAGUGAUUGAUAUAACUUUUUGCAUGUUUAAUAACAACAAAUGGACAUGAGAAUAUAUAGUUCUGAGUUUGGAAAAACAUCAGUCCUAUUGUUAUCAUAGUCAUGCAAAAAAUAGCCACAGGAGAAUCUGGAGAUCUUUAUAAGUACUAAAUAAUUAAAGUUUAUAGUUAAAAACAACAACAUAUAUGUCAAUGAUAUAAUGAUUCCUGCAGCUGUAGUUUUGACAGGCAACAAUUAUUCAAAGUUUUCUCUCCUAUGUUAAGCCGUAAAACAUCAGGAUCCCUGGGGAACAAUCAUUCUUGAAUUCUCAAAAACAUUUUGUUGCACCAACAGUAUUUGACUUUUGGAAACAAAUUAAUGCUACUUGCUCGAGAGUAUUUGGGGAUACAGAAUUAUGCAUUUUAGGUGAUUGUAGCAGUGAUUCACCUGGGCAUUGUGCAAGGUACUGCAGCUAUGUUGUAAUGGAGAGUGAAAAGGUGCUGUUUUGGACAUGCAAAAGUGGAUAAAUGGGAGAAAAAAGAAUCUGCAGCCAAUAAAAUAUCUUAUUUUUUUAAUUGUUAUUUAUAAACCAGUUUGUUGCAUUACAAAUGGUCAUUAAUAAAGUCAAGGCAUAAGGGGGUUGUGGUAAUUUUGCCGACGACCAAAUUGUGGUAAUCGACAAAAUUGUAACUGUGUGUAAGUCUAUUCACCAAAAUUGUUCAGGUAUUUAUCCAGAAAUUGAACAUCUGUCUCAUUCCAUUGAUACAUGGCAUAAGAGUAAAAAGGAAGUGAAGUUGAAGGAAGGGAAGCAAUAAGUAGAUGCCAUAUAUUGUUAUUUUUAUUUGUUCCUCUCCCUGUUGCAGCUUAAAACCCACAUAAAAAGACUCUCAACAACAAAAGCCAAAAAAUUCAAACACAAUGCUCCAGCGGAUCCCUGGGUCAAAAUCGCAUAGUGGUUCAAAAGACACCGCUCGAUCUUGGAGACGCUUACCAGCCAAAACCGCUCGGCUGAUUUUCCAAAUUCUUUUUUCCACUUCGUCCUGGAUCCUCAAACUUUUGCUCGAGGGGUUUCUAUUUUUCGUUUUUCCUCCCUUUUUUAUGGAUAUUUGUACGUUUUCUCCCGGGUUCGUUCCAAAAUCGCUCUAAUCCUCUCGAUCUCGAUUAGUGCUCUCCAAGGUCUUUGUCCCGCCUUUCUAAAGGUCCUUUCUCUCUCAUUUCUCUUCCUCUCUACAAAAGAUUUCAAAACUUCUUCCUCCAGCAACCCUUCAAUUUGAACGGAGGCUUUUCAAAUCCGUUUUGCUUUCCACAAAGAAGCUACUGUGUGCCGAUAAUUUCGGUGAUUUGGAAUUGGAUAAAUCUACGUGCACUGCUGCUUGGCAUUCCUUUUCGAACUUGAAGCGGUUGUCGACGGUCGUGUUCUGUGCUACAGUGCUAUAGUGCUACAGCUACAGCUACAGGUGAGUCUUGCUAGCUUUUUAUUAUAAACAUUCUCGCUAGCUAUGUUCCUUUCCUUUUUAUCGAUCGAUCGAUUGAUCCAUUGAAACCCUGUUUGUUAUUAUUUCGUUUGCAAGUGCCAUGUAAUUCGUGCUUUUGACGAUUUUCCUUUUCUUCGUUUUAUUAGCUACGUACACCCGCUGCUGCCCGUUUUUUGGGUUCUGCGAUGGCUGCUGGCUGUUCCCCUUCUUCACUGGCAUCAGAAUCGAUGGCAUGCGAAUACAAAUAAACGAUCGGAUUCGCUGACUUUUUGGUACAAGAAAUCAAAGAUCGUUUCAAGCAAUAAUUAUGACGCAGACAUGAUUCUCAGACCUUCGAAACGAAAUUUAUGUCAUUUAUGCUGGCGUUAAAUCAAAUGAUGAAACAAGAAAAAACUUGACUGUGGAGAAAAGGACUAAAGUUAUAUAAUAUAGAUUAGCUGUUGUCCGUAAAUUGUCUUUUGUUAAUUUGUUGUUAGAGUAAGAUUCCUUUCUGAUGCACGAAACUUGGCUUUUUUCUAUCUUUCCAUUUCCUAAAUGCUUUGUUCCUGCAGUGUUUCAAAAACUAAUUGCGACGAAGAUAUGAUAUGUGGACCUCAAAUGUAAAGAUUAACUGAGUAAUAACUUUAUAAAUCUUUCGAGUUUAGAAGAGGAGUCAUUAAAUUUUUUAUGAAUAGACAUAAUUUUUUAGGAAUUUUGAUGCUUAAGAAAAUUUUAGAUGAUAUAUAUCUAAAAGCUCCCCAGGAACUUAUUGUAUGAAAACUUUAAUGUUUGAUUCAAAAAUGGCCUUAGAAAACAUUUAUAAGCGCCCUAUAAGUCAACGAGGGCUAAGAGUGUAUGAUUGAAAAACUUAAAAAUUUGAUUCUGACUAAAAAGGAGAACUUCUAGGAGUAACCAAUGAAAAUGUGUCAACGAGGAUAAAGAAUUGAUGGGGCUGGCAGAAGCAUGUUGCUGUCAAGUUUAAAGUAGAAUUCAGAAUAAUUAACAAAGCUUUCAGCAUCACAAUUCGCCGAGAGAUAAAAUAGGAUGGAAACUUUAAAACAUUACAAUUAGAAUCAGCAGGAAAAAUAAAGAGGGUAACCCGUGAAAAUAUUUAAACAAGGACCACAAAUAGAUCGUGGCUUACAAAAUGUAUUCUAGAAACUUUCUGUCUUGCCUCGAUAUUGCAACCGUUUAAGUAUCAAAUUGAUAUGUACAUUUCAAUGAAUGGAAGAGUAGCUCCAAGUCAAUCUCGCUCUGCGGGCACCCUAUGGCCUCAAAAUGGAAUAGUAAGAUUAGCCACUGAAAGACAAGAGUGCUAUUAACCUCGAUUUCAAAGGAGUUCAGAUGGUGAUGAAAGCUAUGAUAUUGCUAAUUGGUAAUCAUAAUAAUCAAGGAACUACUUAUUGGAUUGAUUCUAUUAAGAAUUUCGCAAGUAUGGGUAUCUGGAGCCAGCAAGUAAUUAAGUUUGGGUUUUACUUUUCUACAACGAUUCACUGAAUUACAAUCAAGGUAAUAAAGCAUUACCUUCCUACAGGAAAAAAGCUCUUAUCUCAAUAGGGUUGUUGCUGCAAGUAAAUAAUAAUUUGUCCUCGAGCAAUUAUUUCCUGCUCUUGCCAAUAGUAUAUGCUACUCACAGUAGGCGUGACUAUGGAUUGGAUUAAUUAUGUUUGUCUUUUGUCAUGUUUAGAAUGUGCUUGCCUGCUUGCUGUAUGAUAUUAUACUUUUUGCUUGCAUUCCUUAUUAAAUUGAAAUAAUGUAGGAGGGCAUUGUUUUUUAUUCUGAUUUUCAGGAUAGAUUCAAUUUUAAUUUGAUUUGUGAGAGGAGUAAACAGAAAAGUAAAGUUGGGAAGUCUUAACAUAAAUUUUAUGGAAAAUUAAAACAGGAGACUUAGGGGGUAACCAAUUAAAAUAUUUAAACGAGGAACACGAAUAGACCUGGGCUUGCAAAUGUUUUGAAGCAACUUUCAAUUAACGGAAGACUAGCUCCCCUACGAAGACCGCUACGCGGGCUUGCCAGUGACCCUACCGUAGAGUACAUAGAUUAGCCUCAGAAAAGACAAGAAUUUUCUUAAAACCCCCUGUGAAUGAUAGUAAAAUUAGCCUCGGUAAAGACAAGAAUUCUUUCGAAGCCCCCAAUGAGUAUGCAGAUUAGCCUCGGAAAAGACAAGAGGUGUAUCAACCUCGAUUUGAAAAAAUUAGCUCCGCACAGGUCACGUGAUAAAAAAUUACUCGCACUCCUGUGACUAUCGCUAGGAAGGGGGGAGCCUCUACCCUUCUCUAUUUCAGGCGACCCCCUGACUAGCGAUAGUCACAGGAGUGCGAGUAAUUUUUUAUCACGUGACCUGUGCGGAGCUAAUUUUUUUCAAAUCGAGGUUGAUACACCUCUUGUCUUUUCCGAGGCUAAUCUGCAUACUCAUUGGGGGCUUUGAAAGAAUUCUUGUCUUUACCGAGGCUAAUUUUACUAUCAUUCACAGGGGGUUUUAAGAAAAUUCUUGUCUUUUCCGAGGCUAAUCUAUGUACUCUACCGUAGGGUCACUGGCAAGCCCGCGUAGCGGGCUUCGUAGGGGAGCUAGUCACUAUAACUAAAAUUCGUAUAUGCAAAUUAACCCCGAACAAAAGGUCCCCACUGCCCGGCGAUUAAGAGGGAUUCCAGCCAAAACUGCUCGGCUGAUUUUCAAAAUUCCUUUUUCCCCUUCAUCCUCGAUCAUUGGUUCACCAUCCUACGGUCUCCUUUUUCUCCUUUCCGUUUAUGUUCCUGAGAUAUUUACGGUUUUCUCCCGGGUUUGUUCGAAAUCCUCUCGAUCACGAUUAGCGCUUUCCGCGGUCUUUGUCCUGCCUUUCUAAAGGUUCUUUCUCUCUCUUUUCUCUUGCUCUCUACAAAAGGUUUCAAAACUUCUUCCUCCAGAAACCCUUCAAUUUGAACGGAGGCUUUUCAAAUUCGUUUUGCUUUCCACAAAGAAUCUACUGUGUGCCGAUGAUUUCAGUGAUUUGGAAUUGGAUAAAUCUACGUGCACUGCUGUCUGGCUUUCCUUUUCGAACUCAAAGCGGUCCUCGAUGGUCCUUUUCUGUAGCUACAGCUACAGCUACAGCUACAGCUACAGCUACAGCUACAGCUACAGCUACAGCUACAGCUACAGCUACAGCUACAGCUACAGCUACCAUGUAAUUCGUGCUUUUGACGAUCUUCCUUUUCAUUUUAGUAGCUAUGUACGGUACACGCGCUGCUGCCUGAUAUUUGGUUUUGCAAUGGCAGCUGGUUGUUCCCGUUCUUAACUGGCAUCAGAAUCGAUGGCAUGCGAAUACAAGUAAGCGUUAUUCUUCUUACGUGUUUUGGAUAUUACUUAUUUCAAAUGAUUUUGUGCUCAUUUCGAUGAGAUUCCACUAAAAACCGGCCUUUAAAUACCAGCUGCUUACUGCUAGACCCCCGCCGGGAACGGCAAAUUUUUACCUCUUCUCGUGGUUUUUUGCUAAAAGGAAACUGAAUUUGCUUUAUUGCAAUCAAGGUAUAAAGAAUUGUGGUAGAUUUUUCCUGCUGUUUAUUCUUGAUGCAAGAAGAUUUUAUUUUCAUAGGAAACCCGUUGUAAUGCGAAUUAUGUAAUGCCAGCCCCUAACUUUUUAUGCCUAACGAGAAUCCUUUGCAGCAACUUUUGCUAACCGCCUUCCUUUUUUGUAGAUAAACAAUCGGAUUCGCUGACUUUUUGGUACAACAAGUGAGUAUUUUUCGAUUGAAAUUUCAGUUUUUUCUGUAUUUUUAUUUAUAGUAUUUUAUUUCCUCCUAAGUUUAAAUUAUUUCUAGCUUUGAGAGCAUUUUCGGAAUUGUAAAUGAAUCAUUCUAAAAACCAUUUUAAAUGACUUUGUGCUUAUUUGGGUGAAAUUGCACUGAAAACCAGUUGCUAAAAGGAGUCACUAAACUCGCCGUGGAUGUGUUUCUCUUAAUAUUUUACCUCUUUGUAGUUUUUUUCCUUCAAGGAAAAUGGAUUUGCUGUAUUGCUCGCUUAACAAGAACAAUUUCAAAUGUUUUUAUGCUUAAUUUGAUGAAAUUACACUAAAAACUGGUCGCUUACUGCUAGACCCCGCCACGAAUGGCGAAUUUCUCCCUCUUUUUGAGGUUUUGUACUGAAAGGAAGCUGAAUUGUUACGGUAGAUUGUGCCUGCAUCAAUUUCGGAAUUGUAAAUGAAUCAUUCUAGAAACCUUUUCAAUCGACUUUGUGCUUAUUUGGGUCAAAUUACACUAAAAACCGGUUGCUAAAAGGAGUCGCUAGACCCGCUACAAACAUGUUUCUCUGAAUUUUUUACCUCUUGCAUAGUUUUGUGCUUAAAAGAAUAUGGAUUGGCUGUAUAUCGAUUUCUUUAAAACGUGCUUUCAUUAACCAUGGAAUAACAUCUUCAUUAUUCGUUUUGUUCUUCAUCUAGAACAAAGAUCGUUUCAAGCAAAAUUUAUGACGCAGACGUGAUUCUCGGACCUUCUAAACGAAAUUUAUGGCAUUUAUGCUGGCGUUAAAUCGAACAAAGAAACAAGAAAAAACCAUGACUGUGGAGAAAUGGACUAAAGUUAUAUAGAUUAGAUGUUGUCCGUAAAUUGUAUUUUGUUAAUUUCUUGUUAGAGUAAGAUUCCUUUCUGAUGCACGAAACUUUAGCUGUUUUUUAUCUUUCUAUUUCUUUACUGCUUUGUUCCUGCAGUGUUUCAAAAGCUAAUUGUGACGAAGAUGUGAUAUGUGGACCUCAAAUGUAUAAAACUGCGUAAUAACUCUAUAACUCUUUGGAGUUUAGAAGAGGAGUCAUUUAUUCUUUUAUGAAUCAACAUAAUUAUUUAGGAAUUUUGAUUCUUAAGAAAUUUUUAGAUAAUAUAUAUCUAAACGAGCACCAUGGACCAAUAACGGCUAACAGGAAUUUAUUGUUGGAAAACUUUAAUGUUUGAUUCAAAAUUAACAGAGGAACUUUAAAGGUGGCCCCAAAUUAUAUCUUAAAACAGCAUCAAAAGUCAACAAGAAGUGAACGAAAUGCUACGAGAAAGAUAUUCACGUUGGAUUCAAAAUGAGCAUUACAGCUUUAAGAAUGGCCUUAGAAAAUAUUUAUAAGCGCCCUAUAAGUUGACGAGGGCUAAGAGUGUAUGAUUGGAAAACUUAAAAAUUUGAUUCUGACAAAAUAGGAGAAAUUCUAUGAUUAACCCAUGAAAAUUUUGUCCUUCAAGGAAAAUGGAUUUGCUGUAUUGGUCGCUUAAUAAGACCAUAUUCAAAUGAUUUUAUGCUUAAUUUGAUGAAAUUAUACUAAAAACCGGUUGCUUACACUAACCUUAACGUCCAGAAAAAUUAUACUCUCCCUGGAGUGCUCCCCUGUAAACUUAAUGGUAUCGUGGCUACUGUUAAGAAAGUAGAUGAAGGUCUCAAGCUUCUCCUCGCCAUGUGUCCAGAUAAAUAAAACAUCAUCGAUGAAUCUCAUCCAGACAAUUGGUGUGUCCACUGAUUCCCUCAACAAUCUUUCUUCCAACCCAGUCAUAAAGAGGUUUGCAUAAGCUGGAGCGAACUUAGUUCCUAUAGUGGUGCCUAACUUCUGUCUAUAAAAACUAUCAUAAAAUUCAAAGUAGUUGCUUUCGAGAACCAGAGAUGCCAAUCCCACUAGGGUAUCAGUAGCCACGUUUGGGUUUUCCCUUCUAUCCAGCGCUUCCCUGAUGGCUUCCAGACCCUCCCCAUGUGGAACGCUAGGAUAGAGUCCCACAACAUCAACUGUGCACAGUAUAGCCCCCUCUGGUAUCCUACCUAUUUCACCUAACUUAGACAAGAAAUGAUUAGUAUCCUUAAUGUAAGACCUACCGAGGCUAACCAGUGGAUUGAGGUGGUCAUCUAGAUAUUCCGAUAUAUUUUCUGUAACGGUGGUGCCAGAAUUGGAAAUGACUGGUCGACCCUUAACCCCACUUAAUCCUUUAUUAAUCUUAGGUAACAAAUAUAACCUACCUAGUUUCCCCUCAUUAACUUUAAGAAAAUCAGUCACUUCCUUUUACCCGGGAUCCUCCAUUCUAACUCGUUAAUCCUAUUGUUAACGGCCUUACCCAAUUCUAUUGUGGGGUCCACCUCAAUCUCCUCGUAAACUUGCCUAUCACCUAAUUGCCGGUUAGCCUCUUCUAAGUAACCCCCCCUGUCCCAAACUACAACCGCUGAACCCUUGUCUGCUUCUUUGAUAACUAUGUUCCUAUCCAGUUAAGAUUAUUUAACGCAGUAAGUUCAGAAGAGGAAAGGUUACUGUGAUACUUACCCUCCGCCUGGACAGACAGCACCUCCUUUUCGAAUUGAGCAAGAUAGGAUUCUAGCAAAGGAUCAGUAUUAGAAGGACUCCAGCUGGACUUACAUUUAAAUUUAAGGCUAUUCUUAUCCAAAUUGUUCGAGUCAGUGUCCCUAAAAAACCAACGUAGACGCAUCCUUCUCUUAAAGAUGUCCAAAUCCACCUUGAGCUGCGCCUUGUUUAGGUCAGUUGGUGUCGGUGAAAAUUUCAAACCCUUUGAAAGAAGACUUACUUCCCCUUCCGAAAGGACCCGAUGUGACAGAUUCAGCACAUUUCCACUGACAAACCGCCCAGUUACUCUGCCAGUGGAUCCAUUGCAUUCCAUAAAAGCUGAUUGACACUCAUGCUUCUCCGAUUUCACUGUUUCUGCUGGACGUUCUCCUGG